AUUGAACGCUGGCGGCAUGCCUUACACAUGCAAGUCGAACGGCAGCACGGGAGCAAUCCUGGUGGCGAGUGGCGAACGGGUGAGUAAUAUAUCGGAACGUGCCCGGUCGUGGGGAUAACGUAGCGAAAGCUACGCUAAUACCGCAUACGAUCUACGGAUGAAAGCGGGGGAUCGCAAGACCUCGCGCGAUUGGAGCGGCCGAUAUCAGAUUAGGUAGUUGGUGAGGUAAAGGCUCACCAAGCCGACGAUCUGUAGCUGGUCUGAGAGGACGACCAGCCACACUGGGACUGAGACACGGCCCAGACUCCUACGGGAGGCAGCAGUGGGGAAUUUGGACAAUGGGCGCAAGCCUGAUCCAGCAAUGCCGCGUGCAGGAUGAA
rnacentral:rRNA from 1 species